AUGGUUGGACGCGGGCCGCCGCAUGGCAAGCGAGGUCCGCCGACCGCCGUUGGACCGGAUGCCGCCAUCGCUGCUGGUCGCGGCAAUCCAGCCACCGCGGUGACGGGGUCUGUCGGGGGCGGCCGUGCCGCUGCGCCCAUCGCCGCCGGUGGUGCUGCUGGACGCGGUGGGCCAACACCGCAACAGCAGCCUGGAACGGGUGCCGGCCGGGGUGCUCUCCUUCAACCGCGGCAGGGCCCGAUCACCGGAGCAGGUGCUGCUCCCCCCGUGCGACUCGGCCCGGUCAAGGUUGCUCCAAGCUCGCAGGCACCUGUACAUGAUGUGCAGCGGCAGGGCGAGCCGGUGGCCAAGGUACCAGCUCUAGGACGACAUGGUGGCGCUCAAGGACGUGGUGGUUUCUAUGGUAACAACAGAGAUGGAUGGAAUGCUAACCGGCAUGGGAGGUGGGGAGACGAUGGUUUUGAUGCAUAUGGAGAGGGGCUGCAUCGUGGUUCUUCUUCCGGUGGCGGCCGUGGGCACAACUGGUACAAUGAUGGUGGUCCUGGACAGUUUCAGGGGCCGCCCGAUAAUUUUGUGGAAGGCGUUGCCGGACCCAACUAUCGCUUCCGGGGUGGAUAUCGGCGUGGUGGGAGAGGUAGACGCCCACCUCCACCGCGCCAUAUUCCUCCGCCGCCACCGCCCGUUGCAGAUAUGGUUAUGGGGGAGGAGCUUGAGCACAUAGAGACAGAUUCAUCUACGCUGCCGGCGGCUGCGGCUGAUGUGGUUAUGGCUCUGGCAGCGGUGACUGUACUGACAGCAUCUGGAGCUUUAAAUCUCAGAGAGGGUACUUCUGACAAAGGGCUGGAGAAAGUGGAGGGAGAGAAACUCUCCAAGUGGGCAAUUAAGAAAAAGAAGUUGCCUUGCUUUAGAUGUGGCGAACCGGGUCACUUUAUGGCAGAGUGCACUAAUGAGCUUUGUGAUUAUUGCCUAAAAUCUCAGCACCUCACUGGAGAUUGCCCACUUCUAUCUGGUCCUAAACCUGGCAUUAGCAUUUUCGGUGUGUGUUGCAAGGAGCUGAUGUUUUUUGAGACGCCGGAAGUGGUCGCUACCUCAGAUGGCUGA
rnacentral:rRNA from 1 species